rnacentral:lncRNA from 1 species
GGACGGACGACGGAUCCAGUCUAACAGACGGACGAAGAUACCACCACGUAUCCAAUUGACCACCAGAGACAUUCUUCCGAGUAACAGGAAGAUCUGUUGGCCAACCCGGCCAGCAUCUACGACCAAUCUACCGAAGCGCAGCUCAGACCAGCCAGCCAGCCAGGUAGAAAAAUGGCAGAAAAAAAGAAAAAAGACAGACAUCAGAGUAUUUUUCAGUACACCAAAACGCAAAGCAGAGCAGGCAACAGAUGGCACACAGACAGCAGAGUUGGGGACAGAUAUGCAGGGACAGACUGGCAGAGACAGGGAGUCUCAGGAAUCCAGUCAACGGUCAGAGAGAGAAGAUCCAUCUGCCUUCAAUUGAGAACAGUCAGAAGUGUCCAUCAUGUGCCAGAGCAACAGCAGAGCAUCGUAAAAUCAUCCCUAAAUCUGCCCCCUCCCUCCAGUCUAAGAUGACGUCCUUCUCAUGUUGCCUG